rnacentral:rRNA from 1 species
UACGUAGGGUGCAAGCGUUGUCCGGAAUUACUGGGCGUAAAGAGCUCGUAGGCGGUUUGUCGCGUCGUCUGUGAAAACCAGCAGCUCAACUGUUGGCUUGCAGGCGAUACGGGCAGACUUGAGUAUUUCAGGGGAGACUGGAAUUCCUGGUGUAGCGGUGAAAUGACGCAGAUAUCAGGAGGAACACCGGUGGCGAAGGCGGGUCUCGUG